CAUUCCUCAUUCUUCAUUAUCGUUCCCAAAAUUUCUUCCCUUACGUACGCGAACGCGAGAACACACCGGAACGCCCUAAUUUCUUCAUUCUUCAUUCUUCAUUCUCAUUCUUCAUCGUUCCCAAAUUUCUUCCCAAUUUCUUCCCAAAUCGCCAUCAUCCCUAAUUUCUUCCCAAUUUUCAUUCCCAAAUCGCCAAAUCCCUAAAAAUCCCAAAGCGCCAUCGUCCCAAUUUCUUCAAUCAUUCUCCAAACCCUAGACGGCGACCCCUUUAUCAUUCUCCAAAUUUGCUUCAAUCUGCGGUAACAAGCUUCAAUCUGUGCUCAUCUCAGUUGCUGGAAUCACUUCCACUUCCAAAUAUAAAAUGGAUUUGUCCUACUGCUCCUACUGCUCCUAAUAUGCGCACUGUGUUUGUGUGUUUUUUGCUGCAGUGAUUGGUUUGGAGUUUUGGUUUUGGUUCGGAUUCUAGUUUGCAAUUUUACAGGGUCUAGCCUUGUUUGUUAGUAGCUAGCCUUUUGGUUGGUUUCACGCUUUCUGGUUUUGGUUUCAGACUAGGCUUUUGGUUUAAGGAAGAGAGUAUUGAUUCAUCAAAAUUUGUACACCUUAUUAUUAAUUCAUAUAUAACUUUCGGUUGAAUUACUUGUUCACUUUGAUUGGGUUUCAUCAACUAGAAAGGGUAAAUUUUAUUCACAUUAGUAAGGUUUGUUUAUUAUGCUAAGCUUUUUUGUUUGUGAUUUAUGUCUUUGAUUAGGUAUGCAGUGAAAGAAAGUAGCAUUUCUCAUUCUAAGUAUAGUUCCAUGGAAAGGUAAAUAAUCUUGAACUCGAAUAUAUACAAAGAGGUGAAUUCAAGAAAUUUACACCAUUGAUGUGUCAAUUAAAAAUAUGAAGUUCGAUCUAGUAAUAAUGAUAUGCCAUAGUAAGAUUGGUUAUGAAAUUUCAGUGUUUUGUUUUACUAUAUGCUUUUUGUUGGGAUCAAUUCCAGUGAACACUAAAGGUAUGUAUGUUCAAAAUUUUGAUGGCUAUAUUAUAUUGCUAACUGCUUCAUUCUUUUUGUAUAAUUUUGAUAGGAAUUAAGGACUAAUUUGGGGAAAUGAGAUAAAGUAGUAGAACUCACUUUGAUUUCACAUAUGACUCUUUGUCAACAUAUCUAUUCAAAUUUGUGGCCAGUUAUGAAGGGUCAUUCAAGGUUUGUUUGUGCAACCUGGAGAUACUUGAGGCAGCCAGCCAAUAAGAAGCGGCGCCUGCCUACGUUCACUUGGUUUACCACAAGCACCUUCACCACCUACACAGUUAUCAGCGGAGCACCACUGCUAUCUCUGUUGUUUUUGAAAGGGAGGCAAUUCUCAUGUGAUGGAGCCUGCUGCUGCUUUUCUUUCUCAGCAAUGGCUAAGUGGUGUAUAAUUGUCGCUGGUAUCUUAACUGCUUAGUAAUAUUAAUGUUGUAUCCUUAGCUAUUGCUUAGUGAGUUCCAUUGUAUUGGUGCAUUUUUUUCUGAACUGGUAUCCUGUAUCAUUUAGAGCUUGCUGAACAUCUUGUACACAAGACUUUUUGCUUUUAAUGCCAAUUUGCCUUUUCCAAAAAAAAAUUGAGUAUUGGAGUAGGUAUUUGCAUAAUUGUUUUGGAAGUUUCAUUUGCAUUGGAUUAGGUUUGGUCACCUAGGUAUGCAAAAAACGAAGAAAAAAAAAAUCAAACAUACCACUACUGAUAUGUGUAAAUACCCGUAGUGGAAUCCCCAAUUCUUAAAAAAAAAAAAA